rnacentral:rRNA from 1 species
CCUACGGGAGGCAGCAGUGGGGGAUCUUUCACAAUGGACGAAAGUCUGAUGGAGCAACGCCGCGUGCAGGAUGAAGGCCUUCGGGUUGUAAACUGCUGUUAUAAGCGAGGAAUAUGGUGGUAACUUGUGAAGAAGGAUCCGCUAACUACGUGCCAGCAGCCGCGGUCAUACGUAGGAUGCGAGAAUUAUUCGGCGUGACUGGGGGUAAAGAGUUGCGUAGGUGGGAUAAUAAGUAGCUAGUGUAAUAUGGUGGCUCAACCAUUCAAACUAUUAGCUAAACUGUUAAGCUCGAGACCGUUAGGGGUAACUGGAAUUUCUAGUGUAGGAGUGAAAUCCGUAGAUAUUAGAAGGAACACCAGUAGCGUAGGCAGGUUGCUGGGACGGUUCUGACACUAAGGCACGAAAGCGUAGGGAGCAAACGGGAUUAGAUACCCCGGUAGUC